CCUCGAAGCAGCUGGUCAUGUCCACGCCCUCUGCAGGCCUCGUGUCCCCCUCGCUGUCGCCUGCCGAUUUGGUGGCUCCUCUCAUAACACACAGCCUCCUGUGUAUGUUUUUACCCUACAAACGCUCUCUAACCGGUCCAGAGGUCAGAAACAGCCGCAGUCUCCUACCUCUAUUGCUUCUCAAGGGAAAAGCACAGCCUGGAAUGAUGAGGAGCCCCCACGCCUUCUCAGUCUCCUGUAACGACGUUGCUACAGAUCAGGCUUAAAGAAGAAACCCAAACGCUCUGUGAAUGGGACAUGUGCUCAGAGGCGUCUGCAGUUGAGGCGGGUGACGUUCUGGGGUCCCUGGGAAGUUGUCAUCACCCUGCUGACAUGAGUGUGGAUGUUGAGGCCUGGAGGGUGACAGGUCACACAGCCAGAGCCUGGCAGCAGCGCAGGGGCGGAACCCCGGGUCCCCUGUGGGCCUGUGCCCUCUCGGCCAGCCUUGCAACGCGCAGCUAACGCUCUUCAAGAAAACAUUCUCUGGAGGAAUCCUGCUGGUCCUGAAGUUUUUGGCCUUGAGAAGGUCAUCACAGACACCCCUCCCCUCGGGCCAGGCCUGCUGUCUUGUCUAAGGGGCCCUAUUUUAUCUGAGGUGAUUUGCAACUCUGAAACACACAUACAUAAAAUAGAAAUACCGUCCUCACUAUUAACCUAGAGACCCCCAUCCCUACCCCUCCCUAUGAAUGCUUUUUCAUAAACAUGCCGCAUUCUGAGGAAUCCGAAAGACUCCAGCGUAGGACAGACCGCUGUUCCAAGCCACUGGGAAAGGGGAAACUGGUGACUGAGCGGCGCCCGUCAGAGCCAUUAAAACGUGAGGGAAAACUGCACCUUACGGCACACGAACCCUUAGAAGAGGCAAAACACUACUGAGUUAAUGCUUAAUUUAUUUGUAAUGAUAAAAGUUUUUAUCACUUUAAAUAAAGUUAUUUGAAAAAAGUUAUUCAAUGGCAGCCUAAUAAUUUUGCUUAAUGAAAAAUUAACUCUGCAAAUACAGUUUCCACUAUUCACAUGGAGCCUGCAGGUUUGGAGAAUCCUCUGCAUCAGUGUGGGUGAGCACGUGUGUGAGGGGUGCACGUGUGUGAGGGGUGCACGUGUGUGAAGGGUGCACGUGUGUGAGGGGUGCAUGUGUGUGAAGAGAGCACGUGUGUGAGGGGUGCAUCAGUGUGGGUGUGCACGUGUGUGAGGGGUGCACAUGUAUGAGGGGUGCACGUGUGUGAGGGGUGCACGUGUGUGAGGGGUGAGCACGUGUGUGAGGGGAGCACGUGUGUGAGGGGUGCACGUGUGUGAGGGGAGCACGUGUGUGAGGGAUGCACAUGUGUGAGGGGUGCACGUGUGUGAGGGGUGCACGUGUGAGAGGGGUGCACGUGUGUGAGGGGUGCAUGUGUGUGGGGGUGCACGUGUGUGAGGGAUGCAUGUGUGUGAGGAGAGCACGUGUGUGAGGGAUGCAUGUGUGUGAGGAGAGCACGUGUGUGAGGGGUGCACGUGUGUGACAGAUGCAUGUGUGUGAGGAGAGCACGUGUGUGAGGGGUGCACGUGUGUGAGGGGUGCAUGUGUGUGAGGGGUGCACGUGUGUGAGGGAUGCACGUGUGUGAGGGGUGCAUGUGUGUGAGGAGAGCACGUGUGUGAGGGGUGCACGUGUGUGACAGAUGCAUGUGUGUGAGGAGAGCACGUGUGUGAGGGGUGCACGUGUGUGAGGGGAGCACGUGUGUGAGGGGAGCACGUCUGUG
rnacentral:lncRNA from 1 species